GAUGAACGCUGGCGGCGUGCCUAAUACAUGCAAGUCGAGCGAACGGACGAGAAGCUUGCUUUUCUGAUGUUAGCGGCGGACGGGUGAGUAACACGUGGAUAACCUACCUAUAAGACUGGGAUAACUUCGGGAAACCGGAGCUAAUACCGGAUAAUAUUUUGAACCGCAUGGUUCAAAAGUGAAAGACGGUCUUGCUGUCACUUAUAGAUGGAUCCGCGCUGCAUUAGCUAGUUGGUAAGGUAACGGCUUACCAAGGCAACGAUGCAUAACCGACCUGAGAGGGUGAUCGGCCACACUGGAACUGAGACACGGUCCAGACUCCUACGGGAGGCAGCAGUAGGGAAUCUUCCGCAAUGGGCGAAAGCCUGACGGAGCAACGCCGCGUGAGUGAUGAAGGUCUUCGGAUCGUAAAACUCUGUUAUUAGGGAAGAACAUAUGUGUAAGUAACUGUGCACAUCUUGACGGUACCUAAUCAGAAAGCCACGGCUAACUACGUG
rnacentral:rRNA from 1 species